AGGAAUCUGCCUAUUAGUGGGGGACAACAUCUCGAAAGGGAUGCUAAUACCGCAUACGUCCUACGGGAGAAAGCAGGGGAUCACUUGUGACCUUGCGCUAAUAGAUGAGCCUAAGUCGGAUUAGCUAGUUGGUGGGGUAAAGGCCUACCAAGGCGACGAUCUGUAGCGGGUCUGAGAGGAUGAUCCGCCACACUGGGACUGAGACACGGCCCAGACUCCUACGGGAGGCAGCAGUGGGGAAUAUUGGACAAUGGGGGGAACCCUGAUCCAGCCAUGCCGCGUGUGUGAAGAAGGCCUUAUGGUUGUAAAGCACUUUAAGCGAGGAGGAGGCUCUUUUGGUUACUACCCAGAAUGAGUGGACGUUACUCGCAGAAUAAGCACCGGCUAACUCUGUGCCAGCAGCCGCGGUAAUACAGAGGGUGCAAGCGUUAAUCGGAUUUACUGGGCGUAAAGCGCGCGUAGGCGGCCAAUUAAGUCAAAUGUGAAAUCCCCGAGCUUAACUUGGGAAUUGCAUUCGAUACUGGUUGGCUAGAGUGUGGGAGAGGAUGGUAGAAUUCCAGGU
rnacentral:rRNA from 1 species